CUGAAAGCUAUAACGUUAUAAGCUAAUCAGUGGUUUGCGCUAGCUUGUUUCAAGCUAGAGACACAUUCGAUUAGCAUAAAAACAUAUCCCAGAGAACAGUAGACUCAGUCCAUGGUGUUA